CUCCUUUUUCUGUUUUCGCAUCAAUUCCACUUGGGUGCGCAAAUCUUUUUCUAGUUGCAAGAUGGUCGUCUCUCCUUCUUCCUGAAUAAGACAACGUACCACUGUUAUAAGAUUCCAAGUGAAUUCCUUCAGAGGAAGAGAAGGACAACAUAAGAAGGCGUGGAUGACAGACUUUCAGUUAAACUAACAAGUAAGUCAACUCAUGGUCAACAGAAUAUGGCACAAAGAGGGUCUCCUAAGGAAGGUCCCAGUGAGGAAAAGUGAGUAAGUACCAGGGUACUUUUCCCCCCAAUUUUAAAACUUGUGGUAGAACACAUAUAACAUAAAAUUUACCAUCUUAACCAUUACGUGUACAGUUCAUUGGUAUUAAGUACAGUCAUAUUGUUGUGCAAUCAUAACCAUCACCUCCAAAACUCAUUUCCUCUUGCAAAAGUGAAACUUCAUACUCAAACAAAUAAGUCCCCAUUUUUUCCCUUCUCCAAGCCUGGCAACCACCAUUCUACCUUUUGUCUCUAUGAUUAGACUACUCCAGGCACCAGGCACUUUUAUAGAAUGUGUAAAUUGGCAGCCAGGCACGGUGGCUCACGCCUAUAAUCCCAGCACUUCGGGAGGCCAAGGUGGGCAGAUCACGAGGUCAGCAGUUUGAGACCAACCUGGCCAACAUGGUGAAACCCCGUCUUUACUAAAAAUAGAAAAAUUAGCCAGGCAUGGUGGCGGACACCUGUAAUCCCAGCUACUCGGGAGGCUACGGCAGGAAAAUCGCUUGAACCCGGGAGGCGGAGGUUGCAGUGAGCCGAGACCACACCAUUGCACUCCUGCCUGGACAACACAGCGAGACUCUGUCUCUAAAUAAAUAAAGAAAUAACAGUGUAAAUUGGCUGGAAAGCUUGCUUUGGGUUAGCUAUAGGGUGGCAUGCCUAGCUCAUAUCUAAAUACUCAUCCUGCUAAUCCUAUGAACAUCGUCUCACCUUAGCAACAAAAACCCAUCUGGUAGUCCCUGCUCUACUCCUAACUGGUUAACAAGAAAAAAAAAAGUGGCAUUUUUUUAUAGGACAUAUACAUUUUUCUUAAAUGUCCUAUACAUUUACACAAUUUCAUUUAACAUUGUGAACUAGGAACAUCAGGUAACUUAAGGGAGAUGAUCGUUGUACACCUCACUUCUCGCCCAAUUUCACAUGGAAUGUGAAAAAAGAAAGAGAAACUAUGUCCAAAAUCAAUUAUAUUUAUGACAUUUAUGUUGACUCCAGGAAGCUCCACUUCAUGUUCUCUUCUGCCUGAUUGCUCUUGGCUACCAAGUAUGAAUUAUCCUUUGCCCUUUAAAGGUGAUCUCCCUCCUAAGCUAACUCCAAAUAGAUAUCCAGGCAGGUCUUCCUGUAACAGGAAGAGGGACCUGAGAACCUUAUGGGUGUACUCAUUGUCUUUCCAAGCUCCACAUCUGUCCUAAUUUUUAUGAUCCUGGCACUAUUUUUACUGGUUCUAAGCAGAGAUUUUCAGGACCCCAUCUGUUAUUCAUUUCAUCCUUGCUGUGUCCUCACUCAAGUCCCUGACUUGCAGUGGACCACAAUAUAGCCACUUCUCAGCUCCAUACCCAGAUGGAUGUCAUGGCAUGCUCUGAAAUGGACUAUGCACUCCCAGUAUUCCAGCUUUUGAGACAUUUCUUCUGAAGAAGCCAUUUUGGCUGGUUCAGUGGUAUGCAGCUUCUGGGUAUGAUAAAACCCACAAAGGUUGGUGUUUUCAUAGUAUUCCUUUUAAUCAUUAGUUACUUUUGUUCCUGUUUUCAUUUUCUUUCAGAGAAAGAACACUGCAGCACCAUCUAUGCCUACCUUUUUCUCAGCGUUUAUAAAAAAAAAUUCAUAUUCCCUACAAAGCAAAACUAUGGUAUAACAGGACAACUAAGACUGCCCUGGCACCAGAGAAACUACAAUCUAGAUGUGCUCUGCUUCCAGUCGGCCGAGAAGCCUGCAGCAAAUCACCUAAACACUUAAGGUCUUUGUGUGCCAUCCACACCCAACUGCAACUAGAGACUUUCAUUAGCCCCUUUCUGUCUCAGAGCUUUCGGUGGUUCUACAAGUCACCAGCCUGGAUCUCUAACAAUGUGUCUCUCCAAAGCUGUUAAUACAUUCACAUCCAAAAUAUCUCCAGCCACGAAAUCCUAGUUUAGAGGUUGCCCGUCCUUGUUGAAGAAACAUUUCUACACAAAUACCUGUUGCCUAUACCAGAUGGCCAUACCAAUACCCAAAUACUGACAAACGUUUAAAAGAAUUUACGGUACUCCCUUCACUUUAGAAAUGUUAACAGUUCAAGUCCAACAGAACUUAAAGGAAAAAAAGAGAAAUGUUAACAGUAAGUAAGGCAUUUAUUUAACAUAAUCUCAACUAAAGUCCAACUAAAGAGCUUCCCCAGGCAAACACUCCUUUUGCACUUCAUUUUGAAGACAAAAGAAUGCACAAGUUAAAAUCCUAAUAUUACCAUUUUAUUAAAAAUAACUUUUAAGAUCCAAUCUGUGGCCAAUAUUCGAUCUGGAUGCAAAACCCUGGCUUCCAGACAGGCCAGCCAGGGGCACUGCUCUGAAGGUCAUUACUUAAGUAUCCCAGUCUCCUCAGUCUGACAGACCUACCCCUGCCCAGCCAAUCUCCACAUAACAGCUAGUUGUUCAUAAUAAAUCCCAUCAGAUCCCCGCUUAACUACUCCCCUUCAAAGGCUCCACUGCCCUCAGGAAAUAGUUCAACCACCUUCUGUAGAAAGGCCUUCUAAAACCUCUC
rnacentral:lncRNA from 1 species